rnacentral:lncRNA from 1 species
GGGACUCUUGGUGUCAGAGUUAAAAAAAUAUGGUAAAGGUGGUUUCGAUUUUGGGUAGGUGGGUGAGUAGCCGAUGAUAAGGUUUAGAGAUGGAAGGGUGGCAAUUUUAAGUAUGGUUUAGGGUUUGGGGUGGUGAUUUAGGGAGUUAAGGGCUGUGACAUUAAAGGGUUCAGGGAGAUGGACUAUAGGGAUACUUUGGAGUAGCGUUGGAGCAAGGAAAGGGCUACAAGUGUGUGCGGAAUAAGGUUGAAUAUUUC